GAGGGAAAUUAGGAGAGAUACUGAAAUUAUGCGUCACAUAGGAUAUCAGGCAACCACUUUACUGUCGGCUUCAGUUUUUGAUCUGCAAAAUGGGAGUCUACUUCUAGGUCCCAUAGUCUUUGAUUCUUAGUCUGAUACAAUCGGGGUUGCUGUGAGCUGGCUCUUUGGGUACUAAGUCGACUAUCAAAUGUGGAUAACAGAAUACCUGUCUUCAAAGGGGGUUGUAGAAUUAAAUGAAAUAAAUAAAACACGUGAAACGUGCAGUACAGGGCCAGCACGAGCGUCAUCGUGGCAGUUGCUGCUUCACCACGGGGUCUCAGGUCCCAAGGAAUUGGGGUCGCGGGCGGGCGGAGCGCAGCUGGGACCCAGGCCGGGCGGCCUGCCCCGCCCACGUGGGGCCGCGGCCCGUCGAAUGACUCCUUGCAACGUGUUGGUGGUGGUGGCGGCGGUGGCGCGGGCUCUUCCGGGCGCCGCAGCUUCCUGCCAAGCACCGCGCAGCCGCCUCCGCUGCAGGAUCCCCCGGUGCAGGCCUCCGUGCUGGUGCGGAUCCUGGGGCUCAGCCGCGCGCGCCCUGCCUGAUCCUGCGCCGACCCACCGCACUAUGCGCGCGGUGCCGCCGCCCGCUCAGCUCCUGCCGCUGCUGCUGCUCGCGCUCCUGGCAGCUCCUGCCGCCCGCGCCAACAGAGCCGAGUCCAUCUCCGCGCCGCGGCCCGAACCCGAGCGCGAGUCGCGGCCACCUCCCGGCCCGGGGCCCGGGAACACUACACGGAUUGGGUUUGGGGCGGCGGGCGGCAGCGGCAGCUCCAACAGUAGCGGCGACGCCUUGGUGACCCGCAUUUCCACCCUCCUCCGCGACCUACCCACCCUCAAGGCGGCCGUGAUCGUGGCGUUCGCCUUCACCACCCUCCUCAUCGCCUGCCUGCUGCUGCGCGUCUUCAGGUCAGGAAAGAGGUUAAAGAAGACCCGCAAGUAUGAUAUCAUCACCACUCCAGCUGAGCGAGUGGAAAUGGCGCCGCUAAAUGAAGAGGAUGAUGAGGAUGAGGACUCCACAGUAUUCGACAUCAAAUACAGGUAAAACCUGUUUCCCAGCCUGUUGGCAUCCUGUGGAAAGUUGGUCAGCUGCAACCUGGGGUGUGAAGACCUGGAAGCCCUCUCGCAUCAGAGCAGGAAGAGGCUUCCUGCAUGGAAACAACUGAUUUCACAGAGAACCUGCAGCUGGAUUCAAGUUCAACCCAGAAAAACUGACAAUGCUGCUGGCAGUACCAGCCUGGGACACCAUAAUCCAAGUUCACAGCCUGAGUUUCCCUGGAUCAACCUGACAAUACGAAGUUAAGUUCCAAGUCCAUGGAGGGUUGGUUUACUUCGGGCUCACCGUUAUUCUGAGAGUAUAGCCCUUCAGAAUUAGCGUAAAGGAGAUGAGGGGACCUAUUUGGGCCCCCAACUUCGGUGGCGCUGGGCUGCGACUUUUGUCUGUGAGCCAUCAGAUGGGCAGUGUGUUUAUGACCACAUUCUUUGGAUCCACCAGUGGCCUCAAGGCAAAAGCAGCUUUGAGCACUGGGCUUACAGUCCUGCAUUCUCUUCUCUAUGACUGACUCUGCCCCGUCAUUCUUCACUGUCUUGUUAUUCUUGUUAUCUCUUUGAUGUCUUUAAGAAGACUGUUUUUUUUUUUUUUUCUUUUGAGAAAUGUGGCCUUGCUUUGUUGCCCAGGCUCCUGUACUCAAGCGAUC